rnacentral:rRNA from 1 species
GAUGAACGCUGGCGGCGUGCCUCAAACAUGCAAGUCGAGCGGGGCGUAUGUAAUAUCGCAAGGUAGAACAUAGCCUAGCGGCGAACGGGUGAGUAACACGUGGGUAACCUGCCUGGAAGACAGGGAUAACGAUUCGAAAGGGUCGCUAAUACCUGAUAAUAUCCUUUCAUCGCAUGGUGAUAGGAAGAAAGGGGAAACCCGCUUUCAGAUGGGCCCGCGUCCCAUCAGCUAGUUGGUAAGGUAAAGGCUUACCAAGGCGACGACGGGUAGCCGGUCUGAGAGGAUGUACGGCCACACUGGGACUGAGAUACGGCCCAGACUCCUACGGGAGGCAGCAGUUGGGAAUCUUAGGCAAUGGACGAAAGUCUGACCUAGCGACGCCGCGUGAGGGAAGAAGGCCUUCGGGUUGUAAACCUCUGUCAUGGGGGAAGAAGUAAGUGACGGUACCCCAAGAGGAAGCCCCUGCUAACUACGUG